ACCUGGCUUGCUCAGUUGUUAGAGCAUGAGACUCUUGAUUUUGGGAUUGUGAGUUCGAGCCUCACAUAGGGUG
rnacentral:tRNA from 1 species